AGAGGUGUGGAGGCAACGAGAGAGCGAGAGAUGGUGAACGAGAGAUACAGAUACAAUGCGUGCGUGUGUGUGUGUGAACGCGAUUGCGUUGUUCUUAUUAACCGACUCGCUGGCUAACCGCCCCCCCGCCCAUGCCUUUUUGGGGCCCGAAACAUAAAAAGGCGGCAAAAUUAUUAAACACAAAUAUGGCAGAACAACAAGGAAUCCAGCCAGAGUCCAAUUUGAAUUCUGUGUGAGUCUCCGUUUGAGAUGAUUCGUCCCUCGUUCCACGACGCACGGAGGCAGCUAGCUCCAGACGCUUGCCACAAAGUUGUUUAAUUACUGCCGCGAUUUACUUUGGGUAUUACUGAACCCUAACAACACUAUUACACAGCCCGCAAGGUAGUUUGGUUUGUUAAUUAGUCCGGUUCUUUUUUAUUUCUUGAACAUUUAACACGGAUCUCCAAUUGUAGUUGUAGUGCAAGAG